rnacentral:rRNA from 1 species
CAGCAGCCGCGGUAAUACAGAGGGUGCGAGCGUUAAUCGGAUUUACUGGGCGUAAAGCGUGCGUAGGCGGCUUUUUAAGUCGGAUGUGAAAUCCCUGAGCUUAACUUAGGAAUUGCAUUCGAUACUGGGAAGCUAGAGUAUGGGAGAGGAUGGUAGAAUUCCAGGUGUAGCGGUGAAAUGCGUAGAGAUCUGGAGGAAUACCGAUGGCGAAGGCAGCCAUCUGGCCAAAUACUGACGCUGAGGUACGAAAGCAUGGGGAGCAAACAGGAUUAGAUACCCGCGUAGUCCCUGUCUCUUAUAA